GUGGUACUCCCUGCGUUCGGAAUUACUUGUCAUAAAAAUAAAUGUAUCUACAACUAAAAUACAUCUAGAUACAUUCAUUUUUUCGACGAGUAAUUCCGAACAGAGGGAGUAGUAU
rfam:Triticum aestivum genome assembly, contig: Triticum_aestivum_CS42_TGACv1_scaffold_035164_1BL